rnacentral:rRNA from 1 species
UAGCUGUAAAGCAUGCGGGCCAGGUGCCUGGUGUUCCUCGAGAGCACCAGGUGCCGGAGAGAAGUCGUUAAGCCCGCCGCCUGGGAAGUACGGUCGCAAGGCUGAAACUUAAGGAAAUUGGCGGGGGAGCACCACAAGGGGUGGGACCUGCGGUUC